CUGGGAGGCAUCGACUCCUAAUUUUAAAUACAUCUCAAGACCGAUAGCGUAUUUAGUACCGUGAGGGAAAGCUGAAAAGGAUCCUUAGUAGGAUGUGAAAUAGAACCUGAAACCAGAUAGUGACAGCCAGACAUGGCAUUUAAGGAACGAAGUCUUUCGAAAGAAACUGUGGUGACAUGGGAGUAUGAGUUAGAUGGACUAGUGUUGUGUCGUCCGUCUUGAAACACGGGCCAGGGAGUUCUUUGUUGUGGUGAGGCUAAGGAGUUUAACUUUGUAGUCGUAGGGAAACCAAUAUGCCCGCAGCAUUUUUUGUGAGGGGCAAGGUCUUAAUAGGGCCUGGAAUCACAGCAUUGAAACCCGAAGCCGGUCGAUCUAUUCCUGAGCAGGAUGAAGUCGCUCUUACGAGCGAUGGAGGUUCGACGAGUUGUUGUUCUGCAAAACACUCUCUUGACUUGGGAAUAGUGGUGAAAGGCCAAUCAAGGCCGGUGACAGCUGG
rnacentral:rRNA from 1 species